AAAAGUUUGGUCCUAGCUUUAUUAUCAAUUGCUUCUCAACUUACACAUGCAAGUCUCAGCACACCCGUGAAAACGCCCUUUUAACCUACUCAGACGAAGGAGCUGGUAUCAGGCACAGAAUUCUUGCCCACAACACCUAGUACCACCACACCCCCAAGGGUAUUCAGCAGUGAUAAAGAUUGAUGAUAAGCGCCAGCUUGAAUCAGUUAGAGUAAAUAGAGCCGGCCAACAUGGUGCCAGCCGCCGCGGCUAGACCACCGGGCUCAAGUUGAUAAAAAUCGGCGUUAAGCGUGGUUAAAGAAACACAAAAUUAGAGUUAAAUUUAAACUUAGCUGUGAAAAGCUUGUCACCUAGAAGACCAAAAACGAAAGUUACUCUAACAAACACUUGAAUACACGACAGCUUGAAACAAACUGGGAUUAGAUACCCCACUAUGCCAAGCCGUAAAAUUAAAUUACACUACCAACGCCAGGGAAUUACGAGCUUAAGCUUAAAACCCAAAGGACUUGACGGUGACCCACCCAUCUAGAGGAGCCUGUUCUAUAAUCGAUAAUCCACGCUAUACCUUACCGUUUCUUGCUUCUCAGCUUGUAUACCUCCGUCGUAAAUUCACCGUUUGAACGAAUAGUAGUGUGUCUGACGACCACCCGCCAAUACGUCAGGUCAAGGUGCAGCUCAUGAAACGGAAAGCAAUGGGCUACAAUUUCUAACAUAGAAUAAACGAAAAACUGUAUGAAACACAGUUAUGAAGGCGGAUUUAGUAGUAAAUGGGGAGUAGAGAGCCCCCUUUAAUCUGGCCCUGGGACAUGUACAAACCGCCCGUCACCCUCUUCGAUAGCCCAUUUAUCUGCUUCAUAACACAACCUCGCGCCUUAGAAGAAGCAAGUCGUAACAUGGUAAGUGUUCUGGAAAGUGCACUUGGAACAA
rnacentral:ncRNA from 1 species